rnacentral:rRNA from 1 species
AGCGGCGGACGGGUUAGUAACGCGUGGGAACGUGCCCUUCUCUGCGGAAUAGCCACUGGAAACGGUGAGUAAUACCGCAUACGCCCUUCGGGGGAAAGAUUUAUCGGAGAAGGAUCGGCCCGCGUUAGAUUAGAUAGUUGGUGGGGUAAUGGCCUACCAAGUCUACGAUCUAUAGCUGGUUUUAGAGGAUGAUCAGCAACACUGGGACUGAGACACGGCCCAGACUCCUACGGGAGGCAGCAGUGGGGAAUCUUAGACAAUGGGCGCAAGCCUGAUCUAGCCAUGCCGCGUGUGUGAUGAAGGUCUUAGGAUCGUAAAGCACUUUCGCCAGGGAUGAUAAUGACAGUACCUGGUAAAGAAACCCCGGCUAACUCCGUGCCAGCAGCCGCGGUAAUACGGAGGGGGCUAGCGUUGUUCGGAAUUACUGGGCGUAAAGCGCACGUAGGCGGUUUGUUAAGCAAGAUGUGAAAGCCCAGGGCUCAACCUUGGAAUUGCAUUUUGAACUGGCAAGCUAGAGUUUUGAAGAGGGUGGUAGAAUUUCCAGUGUAGCGGUGAAAUGCGUAGAUAUUGGAAGUAAUACCAGUGGCGAA